rnacentral:snoRNA from 8 species
GAAAAUGAGGAACAAAUAAAAUGUGAAUCAAGACAAAUGUUUUGAAACAAUGUACCAAAUUUUGCUUAUUGAUAUUCUGAUUCCA